rnacentral:rRNA from 1 species
UUCAUAUAGUUUUGGAAUGCUCCUGGGUAUCAUCUAUCCAUCAGGAUAGUUCCUCUGUGGCAUUCGCAAGACUGGUCUCAUAAAAUUUCACCUAAAACCCUGUAAACCAUUGAUUCUACUAGUUCCGUUUUUUUUUUCUUUAAAAAAAAAAAAACUGGCCCCACAACGUUUUUUUUUCUCGCUGAAUACUUUCUUAUUAUGUACAUGUAGCGGUUAUGGGGGUCGAUAUAAGAGUUUUUUUAUUUUUGCGGCUUUCACUUCUACGCCAACCAGGCAUGCUAGGAAUGAUUGCCGCGAAGUAUACCACCUUAUAUUAUCUCCCCCUUAUCGCAUUUUUUAUUCUAAC